rnacentral:rRNA from 1 species
UAAUGUCGGGAACUCCAGGGAGACUGCCGGUGAUAAACCGGAGGAAGGUGGGGACGACGUCAAGUCAUCAUGGCCCUUACGAGUAGGGCUACACACGUGCUACAAUGGCAUAUACAGAGGGCAGCGAGGCAGCGAUGUGGAGCGAAUCCCAGAAAGUAUGUCGUAGUCCGGAUUGGAGUCUGCAACUCGACUCCAUGAAGUCGGAAUCGCUAGUAAUCGUAGAUCAGAAUGCUACGGUGAAUACGUUCCCGGGCCUUGUACACACCG